rnacentral:lncRNA from 1 species
AAGAAGACUAGAAGCUUCUACUUAUAGUCAACACUCCAAUAGUAGCAUACACUAUUCACUUCAGGCAGUACGAAAUCUGAUAUCUUUCGCCGGAGCCCUCUGAAUAUCCGUUUAAGCUCAAAUUUGACAGUUAUGUUCGGUUUUUCUUAACUUAACGAAAAAAAUUUUAAUCUUUCAGUUUCGACCCCGUUUGGUCACCGAAAGCUGUACCGAACUGUAAUCUUUAUCAGAUCACUAUCGGAUUUUAUUUUCCACCUUCCGGGUAUCAGAAUGAUAUGAAACUUUAAAUCUAGCCUCAUAAAAAUAAUUCUGGCUUAUCCUCCAGUUUUUAGAAUUUUCUGACACUGUACAUUUUCUGCUAAUUUAUCUGCCCCGUCUCUCACAGAAAAUUCUAAAUCUUCUGUUUUCGCUCCGAUUUCAGCACAGGUCAUUUUCAACUUAUAAUUUACACCUUUAAAUCCAAUAAAAAUAGUAUCUCACACUAUUUUUAUUUAUAUUUAUUUUUAUAUUAAAAAUCCAGCAUACUACAUCCACCGUAACUACAUAAUUUUAGAAGUUCGGUACCUUACAACAGAAGUUCGGUACCUUACAAUUAUUACUCAAAUUGGAGUACCGAUACUCCCUCAUUGGUGUCAGUACACUCAUAGUUUCGCAAAACCUGAAA